rnacentral:rRNA from 1 species
CAGUAGCCGCGGGAAUACAGAGGGUGCAAGCGUUAAUCGGAAUUACUGGGCGUAAAGCGCGCGUAGGUGGUUCGCCAAGUUGGAUGUGAAAUCCCCGGGCUCAACCUGGGAACUGCAUCCAAAACUGGCGAGCUAGAGUAUGGUAGAGGGUGGUGGAAUUUCCUGUGUAGCGGUGAAAUGCGUAGAUAUAGGAAGGAACAUCAGUGGCGAAGGCGACCACCUGGACUGAUACUGACACUGAGGUGCGAAAGCGUGGGGAGCAAACAGGAUUAGAUACCCGUGUAGUCCCUGUCUCUUAUAC